AUCGUAACUCCUACGGGAGGCAGCAGUAGGGAAUCUUCCGCAAUGGACGAAAGUCUGACGGAGCAAUGCCGCGUGAGUGAAGAAGGUUUUCGGAUCGUAAAACUCUGUUGUUAGAGAAGAACAAGGAUGAGAGUAACUGCUCAUCCCCUGACGGUAUCUAACCAGAAAGCCACGGCUAACUACGUGCCAGCAGCCGCGGUAAUACGUAGGUGGCAAGCGUUGUCCGGAAUUAUUGGGCGUAAAGCGCGCGCAGGCGGUCUCUUAAGUCUGAUGUGAAAGCCCCCGGCUCAACCGGGGAGGGUCAUUGGAAACUGGGAGACUUGAGGACAGAAGAGGAGAGUGGAAUUCCAAGUGUAGCGGUGAAAUGCGUAGAUAUUUGGAGGAACACCAGUGGCGAAGGCGGCUCUCUGGUCUGUUACUGACGCUGAGGCGCGAAAGCGUGGGGAGCAAACAGGAUUAGAAACCCGGGUAGUCCUAGAGC
rnacentral:rRNA from 1 species